rnacentral:lncRNA from 1 species
CAAUGUCACUACUGUGUGCUUGCUGAGCACAAUCUGCUCUCUACAACCACGUUAAGAGAUGAUUCUCUAUCUGGAACAAUGGCAGCUGCUGGCACAGGAGAUGGAGGGGGGUUAUCGGGUGCCCUGCACAGCCCUGAUAGCACCGAGUGCUACAGAGUGGCUGCAGCUGCCAUGCUGGAUCCUUGCUGAUAAGAAAGGGAUCAGCUGUUUGAGCUCAGCUGCCUCUGAGCCCAGAGCUGGGUCCUGGUUCUGGUUGCCACACCUCAGGUGUUGCCUAGCUUCCACGCUCCCUCCCACUCUGAAACUGGCUGCUGGCUGGUUUCCCUGCCUUUCCUCCUAUCAGGCAUGGAUCCUGAGCCUCCAGCCCAGACCAUCCUGCCCCUGGUGAUUGCAUUCUGCUGCAGAUCUGGCGGCCUUCCCUCUGUGGCAACCACUGCAUCGCCCAGCAGUGCACCUCCCAGCCUCCAUGCCUCUGCAGCCCGCAACAUCUUCGGCUCCCGACCCCCGAGGCCUCGAGAGAACGUCCUCUGCACCAGCUUCAAGCCCUACAGCCCGGAGUCCAGCCCAGCCCUGGCCCCCUGCACAGCCUGUGAGAGCACACGAUCCUCCAUGUUCAGAGCUCCCUGCAUGAGCCAGCGACGGCUUGUGCUCAUCUUCUGCGUCUCCAUCCUCAUCGCGCUGCUCAUCGCCCUCAU